rnacentral:rRNA from 1 species
GUCUACGGUCAUACCACCCUGAACACACCCAAUCCCGUCUGAUCUCGGAAGAAAUAGGUUGGGGGUAUAGAUCAACCUGUUAAUGUCCAUGUCCAACAAAGGAGCAAUUACAGAAGCCA